UACGAAGGGGGCUAGCGUUGCUCGGAAUUACUGGGCGUAAAGGGCGCGUAGGCGGGUUGGCAAGUCCGCUGUGAAAGCCCGAGGCUUAACCUCGGCGGGUCGGUGGAUACUGCCAGUCUUGAAGGUGCUAGGGGGAGGAUGGAAUUACCGGUGUAGCGGUGAAAUGCGCAGAUAUCAGGAGGAACACCGAUGGCGAAGGCAGAAUCUCUGGGCCGUGAACUGACGCUGAGGAGCGAAAGCAUGGGGAGCGAACAGG
rnacentral:rRNA from 1 species